rnacentral:misc_RNA from 1 species
GGAGGCCAUAGGAAGGUGAUUUGAGAAGAAAGAAGUGUUUCUUUGCAAUUGCAGUUCUCUCUCAUGUAAGGGUCAUUGGUUCUUGCCACCUGCAGAAUGCCUUGUGCUUCCUGGGUAGAAUUUCAAUGUUUUCUCAGUAAGUUGAUGUGAAGAAACCAUAAUCUUGUACUAUUGCUUUGUUUCCAGUUAUCCUUGUGAAAACAAACUGAGUUUUAUCCUUUGCCGGUUUAUUGUAACAGGAAAACUGGGUUCUUGACGACUUCUCGUUAAAAUUGAUUAAAGAAUAAAUAGACUAAGAGCUAAGACCACUGUUCGUUAACCUCUAGCUGUAGGAUGUUUAGCUUGAAAUUUAGAAUCGAGCAAAUGAGCCAACGGGUUAAAAGUAUCGUAUCAAAGGAGUGAUUAGACAAAAGUAUAAGC